GAGGUCGGGAGAGGGAUGCGGAAUUCCAGGUGUAGCGGUGAAAUGCGUAGAUAUCUGGAGGAACACCGGUGGCGAAGGCGGCAUCCUGGACCAACACUGACACUGAGGAGCGAAAGCCAGGGGAGCAAACGGGAUUAGAUACCCCGGUAGUCCUGGCCCUAAACGAUGAAUGCUUGGUGUGGCGGGUAUCGAUCCCUGCCGUGCCGAAGCUAACGCAUUAAGCAUUCCGCCUGGGGAGUACGGUCGCAGGGCUAAAACUCAAAGGAAUUGACGG
rnacentral:rRNA from 1 species